CAUUGACUAGUCCAUGGCUGAAUAGCCGAACUUCAUAGAAUGACAUUUUUGGAACUUAGCCAAGGAAUCAUUUUCUCAAAUUCACGUUUGAACUCCAUUUGGAAAAUUUCAAGCUCCUCUCUGGGAGGUGUUGACUGAUUUCCUCAGGGUGAUGAGCUUCUGAAGAUAGUGGUGCAAUCGCUCGAUGACAAAUGCGAUGAAUAGUGUGUAUCCUGCAAGGAGCGAUAAGCUGUUAGAAAUGUUUAGCUUUGAACUUGAAUAAAAUAUAGGAACUGUGCUGAGUUUAUUUUCAGAUUUCUGCUAGCAUGCAUCAAGACAUUUUAUAUAUGGUUUUUACACUGCCAAUCUAGACUAGAUACUUCCAAAUCCUAAAAAACUUUAUUACAAUAGUCAGGAGUGAACUCAUACAUGUAUAUCUACUAAUAAACACCAACAAGCAAUUACAACAGCAGAGAUAUAAUCUAAAACUCAUGGCAUAUAUCUUUAUAUUCAUCAAGUUGAAAUCAACAAAAUUUAGAAUUUCCAAACACCAAAGGGCAAAAAAUGGUGAAAAUAGUCUCAAGAUUUACGGUCUAUGUCCACCGAGAGUUUUGUUGUUAAUAAUACCAAUCGAAGCUUUUCCAACAAAGCAUUCUCUAAUGCAAAUCUUCCUAGCAACCUCACCCAAUGACAUUUAUGCAUUAGCUCUGGUUUGAUUUGAAACUAAAUUAAAUGAAAUUUGAGAAAAGCUGUUAGGAGGACAGGAAACCAUUUCCCAAACAAGAAAAAUAAACAAGUACAAGCAUGAGUAUAGCAAGAGGAGUUGUUAGCAUGUUUAUCUGAAUGCGUAUGUUUGUUCAAUACACCAUGUGAUGCAAGUACCAACUCUUUUUCUCUCUGAAACAAGCAAGAUUCACACAAACAUCCUGCAUUUCUAGCAUCAGAAGUUACUUGUCAUGAACUGACAGAUUUACACAAGUAGACCAACCAAUGGUGAAAUCUAUUAAUUGUUUUAAGGAAUCAAUAAUUUGGUACCCGCUGGGGAUUCAUGUGUUUCGUUGUACUAAAUUUAAUAACAAAAAUGCAGAUUCAUACAGAAAACAACCCAAAAGAAGUGAUGUCACCGUGUCCCGUUGCAGCUCAGCGUGUGUAGUGUACUUGCACUUACGAUCAACCAUUUUUUUGACUAGAUAUUUCAUGGGAGUCUAGGGUGCUGGCAAGGGUGAUCGGCUUGAGCAUUGCGUCAUCGAACGGCCUUAUGUGGAGGCAGUGAACGGC
rnacentral:lncRNA from 1 species